GGAGACCUAGUAAAUACUAUUACGUGGCUUUGUCGUAGCCAAAUAACAGCGAACUGUGGCCCCCA
rnacentral:tRNA from 1 species